rnacentral:rRNA from 1 species
GACGAACGCUGGCGGCGUGCUUAACACAUGCAAGUCGAACGGAAAGGCCCUGCUUUUGUGGUGUGCUCGAGUGGCGAACGGGUGAGUAACACGUGAGUAACCUGCCCUUGACUUUGGGAUAACUUCAGGAAACUGGGGCUAAUACCGGAUAGGAGCUCCUGCUGCAUGGUGGGGGUGGGAAAGUUUCGGCGGUUGGGGAUGGACUCGCGGCUUAUUAGCUUGUUGGUGGGGUAGUGGCUUACCAAGGCUUUGACGGGUAGCCGGCCUGUGAGGGUGACCGGCCACAUUGGGACUGAGAUACGGCCCAGACUCGUACGGGAGGCAGCAGUGGGGAAUAUUGCACAAUGGGCGGAAGCCUGAUGCAGCAACGCCGCGUGCGGGAUGACGGCCUUCGGGUUGUAAACCGCUUUCGCCUGUGACGAAGCGUGAGUGACGGUAAUGGGUAAAGAAGCACCGGCUAACUACGUG